rnacentral:rRNA from 1 species
AUUGAACGCUGGCGGCAUGCUUUACACAUGCAAGUCGAACGGUAACAGGCCGCAAGGUGCUGACGAGUGGCGAACGGGUGAGUAAUGCAUCGGAACGUGCCCAGUCGUGGGGGAUAACUACUCGAAAGAGUAGCUAAUACCGCAUACGAUCUAUGGAUGAAAGCGGGGGACCGUAAGGCCUCGCGCGAUUGGAGCGGCCGAUGUCAGAUUAGGUAGUUGGUGGGGUAAAGGCUCACCAAGCCAUCGAUCUGUAGCUGGUCUGAGAGGACGACCAGCCACACUGGGACUGAGACACGGCCCAGACUCCUACGGGAGGCAGCAGUGGGGAAUUUUGGACAAUGGGCGCAAGCCUGAUCCAGCAAUGCCGCGUGCAGGAAGAAGGCCUUCGGGUUGUAAACUGCUUUUGUACGGAACGAAACGGCUCUGGUUAAUACCCGGGGCUAAUGACGGUACCGUAAGAAUAAGCACCGGCUAACUACGUG